UACGAAGGGGACUAGCGUUGUUCGGAAUUACUGGGCGUAAAGCGCACGUAGGCGGACUUGUAAGUCAGGGGUGAAAUCCCGGGGCUCAACCCCGGAACUGCCUUUGAUACUGCGAGUCUUGAGGUCGAGAGAGGUGAGUGGAAUUCCGAGUGUAGAGGUGAAAUUCGUAGAUAUUCGGAGGAACACCAGUGGCGAAGGCGGCUCACUGGCUCGAUACUGACGCUGAGGUGCGAAAGCGUGGGGAGCAAACAGG
rnacentral:rRNA from 1 species